UUGCUGGACGCGCCCCAGGCGCACCCAGAAACCCUUUGUGAACUUAUACCUUUUGUUGCCUCGGCGCUGCUGGUCUCUAGUAGGCCCCUCACUUCGGUGAGGAAAAGGCACGCCGGCGGCCAAAUCAACUCUGUUUUUACACUGAAACUCUGAGAAAAAACACAAAUGAAUCAAAACUUUCAACAACGGAUCUCUUGGUUCUGGCAUCGAUGAAGAACGCAGCGAAAUGCGAUAAGUAAUGUGAAUUGCAGAAUUCAGUGAAUCAUCGAAUCUUUGAACGCACAUUGCGCCCUCUGGUAUUCCGGAGGGCAUGCCUGUUCGAGCGUCAUUUCAACCCUCAAGCAUUGCUUGGUGUUGGGGCACUGCUUCUAACGAAGCAGGCCCUGAAAUCUAGUGGCGAGCUCGCCAGGACCCCGAGCGCAGUAGUUAAACCCUCGCUCUGGAAGGCCCUGGCGGUGCCCUGCCGUUAAACCCCCAACUUCUGAAAAUU
rnacentral:rRNA from 1 species